UGGGGAAUAUUGCACAAUGGGCGCAAGCCUGAUGCAGCCAUGCCGCGUGUGUGAAGAAGGCCUUCGGGUUGUAAAGCACUUUCAGCGGGGAGGAAGGCGAUAAGGUUAAUAACCUUGUCGAUUGACGUUACCCGCAGAAGAAGCACCGGCUAACUCCGUGCCAGCAGCCGCGGUAAUACGGAGGGUGCAAGCGUUAAUCGGAAUUACUGGGCGUAAAGCGCACGAAGGCGGUCUGUCAAGUCGGAUGUGAAAUCCCCGGGCUCAACCUGGGAACUGCAUUCGAAACUGGCAGGCUAGAGUCUUGUAGAGGGGGGUAGAAUUCCAGGUGUAGCGGUGAAAUGCGUAGAGAUCUGGAGGAAUACCGGUGGCGAAGGCGGCCCCCUGGACAAAGACUGACGCUCAGGUGCGAAAGCGUGGGGAGCAAACAGG
rnacentral:rRNA from 1 species